rnacentral:rRNA from 1 species
UACGUAGGGUGCGAGCGUUGUCCGGAAUUACUGGGCGUAAAGAGCUCGUAGGUGGUUUGUCGCGUUGUUCGUGAAAUCUCACGGCUUAACUGUGAGCGUGCGGGCGAUACGGGCAGACUAGAGUACUGCAGGGGAGACUGGAAUUCCUGGUGUAGCGGUGGAAUGCGCAGAUAUCAGAAGGAACACCGGUGGCGAAGGCGGGUCUCUGGGCAGUAACUGACGCUGAGGAGCGAAAGCGUGGGGAGCGAACAGG